CCAGUUCGGAUCGGAGCCUGCAACCCGGCUCCGUUGAAGCUGGAUUCGCUAGUAAUCGCGCAUCAGCCAUGGCGCGGUGAAUACGUUCCCGGGCCUUGUACACACCGCCCGUCAAGCCAUGGGAGCCGGGGGCGCCUGAAGUGCGGUACCGCGAGGGCCGCCCAAGGGCGAGACCGGUGACUGGGGCUAAGUCGUAACAAGGUAGC
rnacentral:rRNA from 1 species